UUUAUAUAUUUACAAAGAGACCUAUAAUUAUGAAAUUAAAUAUGAAUUAUGAAAAUUCUUAACAAGUUAAUUUAUUAAAGUUUUUCUAUAUAAAUAUAAAUUAUUAAAAAAAUCAAUUAUUUAUUAUUUAUAGAUUGAUUAAUAUCAAAUUUUCAAUUUUGGUGAAAAUUGCUUUUCACUAAGGUAGAGUUGGCAUUUAGGAAGGGGGAAAAAGCGCCCUAUAAAGAAAGUAAAGGGGAAAAAAAGCCAUUUAGAACUAAGAAAUUUUAAAAUAUAAUUAUUGUAUAUACAACAAUUUUAUUAUGAUCAUUAAUUAUG
rnacentral:misc_RNA from 1 species